GAUUUUAAAAAUGGCAGUUUCCCCUGCGCUUUUUCUCUCUCCUGUGCCUUGUGAAGAAAGUGCCUGCUUCGCCUUCACCUUCGGCCAUGAUUGUAAGUUUCCUGAGGCCUUCUCCGCCUGCAGAGCUCCUGACUCUUCAUUCCUGCCUUGUGUGACCCAGGGAUGGAGGACUGCCCUCCCAACUCAUUAUCCUCUUUGCCCAGGAGCUCCAUCCUGUUGCCAUCUGCUAAAAUCCUCAGCCCACCUGCAUAGUGAACAGCAUUCAUUGUUUUCCAGAAAUGUGCAAGAACCACAGUCUCCCCCAAGACUGAAGAUCUGCUUCAUCGACAUGGCAGGGAACGUGGCUGAACACAGAGGACUCAUUUUUGCAGCUUCCCUACCAGAGAGAGAGAGACACCCUUUUUACCCGAGUUCUGAGUUGAAAUAUCCUAGAAGAGAACUCUGAUUGGCCUGGCUUGGGUCACAUGCCUGUCCUUGAGUUGAUCAACUGUGAUUAGUUAUAAGUGUACUCAUUAGUAACUUCCCCUGGAACCUUAGAUUUGAUGUGGGGUAAGACUUCCAAAAACAAACAAAAAAAUAAAACAGAAGAAUGCUA